UACAGAGGUCUCAAGCGUUGUUCGGAUUCAUUGGGCGUAAAGGGUGUGUAGGUGGCGCCGUAAGUCGGGUGUGAAAUCUCCCGGCGUUAACUGGGAGGGUGCGGUGGAAACUGGGGUGCUUGAGUGUGGGAGAGGUAAGCGGAAUUCCUGGUGUAGCGGUGAAAUGCGUAGAUAUCAGGAGGAACACCGGUGGUGUAGACGGCUUACUGGACCACGACUGACACUGGAGGCACGAAAGCGUGGGUAGCAAACAGG
rnacentral:rRNA from 1 species